rnacentral:rRNA from 1 species
CAUCCACUCUACACCUGUGCACUUACUGUAGGUUUGGCGUGGGCUUCGGGGGCCUUCGCGGGCUUUCGUGGCAUUCUGCCUGCCUAUGUAUCACUACAAACACUAUAAAGUAACAGAAUGUAAUCGCGUCUAACGCAUCUUAAUACAACUUUCAGCAACGGAUCUCUUGGCUCUCGCAUCGAUGAAGAACGCAGCGAAAUGCGAUAAGUAAUGUGAAUUGCAGAAUUCAGUGAAUCAUCGAAUCUUUGAACGCACCUUGCGCUCCUUGGUAUUCCGAGGAGCAUGCCUGUUUGAGUGUCAUGGUAUUCUCAACCCACACAUCCUUGUGAUGUUCGUAGGGCUUGGACUUGGAGGCUUGCUGGCCGUCGCGGUCGGCUCCUCUUGAAUGCAUUAGCUUGGUUCCUUGCGGAUCGGCUCUCAGUGUGAUAAUUGUCUACGCUGUGACCGUGAAGCGUUUGGCGAGCUUCUAACCGUCCUGCUAGGGACAAACUUACUUGACAUCUGACCUCAAAUCAGGUAGGACUACCCGCUGAACUUAAGCAU